ACAAGUAUAUAAAGAAACUAUUAUGGAUGGUUAGCUAUAUAUUUCAAGAUAAUUAUAUCUAGAUAAUUCUUAAGCUAGAAAUCAUAGAGAAAUCUAAUAAUAAGACAAAGUGAAUUGAAAUAUCUUAGUAACUUUAGGAAAAGAAAUCAAACGAGAUUGUUAUUUGGUGUCUUCUGAAUAGCAAAAGCCUUAUAAAAAUAACAUAUUUUUUAUGUUAUUUUUAAUAUAAAUAUACUAAUGGUAUAUUUAAGUAUAACGGAAAAAAAUCUGUUGAAAAAUAGGGGAACCUUCCUCUAAGGCUAAAAAAAAUAUAUAAGCGAUAGAGUAACAGUACCGUGAGGGAAAUACCCUGAAAUAGUAGUUUUAUAAGCAGCUCGAGUUAAAAUUUAAAUAAAUAAUAAGAGCGUACCUUUUGCAUAAUGGGUCAGCAAGUUAAUUUUAGAUGCAAGUAACAUCUCUUUUAUAUUAAUUUAUGCUUAGAACAAUAUAUAUAAUUAUAUAUGUAUAAUAAUUUAUUUUAUUAAUGAAGGAAAAAAUAAAGAAAUAAAUAUAAAAUUUAUAACAUUAAAGUAAUUUAAAGUAAUAAGUUAGUAAUAAUUAUUCUUUAUAAUAACCACAUUAUGUAAAAUUAUUUAUAUGUAAUUAUGUAUAUUUAUAUUAUCUUAAAUAUUGGUGUAUAAAUUAAUAUAAAAUAAGGAGAUAGAUACGUAGAUAAACCAAUUAUGAAAAAAUGAAUAAGUAUCUAGAAUUAGACCCGAAGGCUAGUGAUCUUACCAUGGUCAGGGUUAUAAAAGCCCGAACGGGUUAUCGUUGUAAAGAUAUCCGAUGAACUGUGGUAAGUUAGUGAAAGACAAAACUGACUAGUAUAGCUGGUUUUCCGCGAAACCUAUGUAAGUAGGUAAUUUAAUUAACAUCUUAGCAGGUACAGAACUGUGAUCUCGGACAAUAUGUAAUAUAUUUGUCAACAUCGGGGGGUUGUAGUGACUUUACCGGAGAGUAUUUGCACUCGGAAGGGCAAAGAUGAAUGUUAAAUAAUCGGACAUAGUGCGAUAAGGUUGUAUGUCUAAAGGGAAACAGCCCAGAACAAGAGUUAAGGUUCCAAAAUUAUUGUUAAGUGAAAUUAAGGAUGUUUUUUUUUAAAACAAUCAGGAAAUAGGCUUAGAAGCGGCCAUUUUUUGAAGACCUCGUAACAGAGCACUGAUUAAUAAAUUAGGAAAAAACGCCGAAAAUUUAACGGAUCUAAAUAAUAUACCGAAACCUUGUACACAUAUAAAAAUUUAAACGACAUCGUUUAAAUUUUAUGUGGGGUAGCGGAACAUUGGAUUAAACAAAAUAUUAAUAUUUUUCUUAAAAUAUUACAAAUUCUUAAUGUAUUGUAUAUAUUAUUAUAUACUAAUUAUAAAUUAAGAAGCGUUAAAUCCAAGAGAGAAUGCUGACAUGAGUAACGAAAAAGGCUUUUAGCCUCGCCUGAAGCUUAUGGUUUCAACUAAAAUCGGUGUCUAAAAAGAUUAAUCAAAGGAUAAUUUUGAUGACGUAUUAAGUUUUUUUUUAAUAAAAUAAUACCAAAACCUUUAACAAGUAAUAAAGGUUCUGGAAAAGUUUAUUUUUAUAUUGGAUUGAUAUAUAUGAAUUAUUUAUCCCCUUACUAUAUUAUAUAAAUAUAAUAAGAUAAUAUAUUUAGACUAAUAUAGUUGAUAAAUAUAUUAAUAUAUAAAAAAAAAUAACAUAAAAAAACAAAAAUAACCGUACCUAGAAACUAACUCAAGUAAGCAAGUAGAGUAUACAAAGGCGUUUGAGAGAACAAUCAUUAAGGAACUCGGCAAAUUGACUCUGUACCUUCGGAAUAAGGAGGGCCAUUAACAUUAAUUCAACAUAUUAUUAAGUAUGAAAAAUUGAAUUAAUGUUAAGAGGAAUCAUGAAAUAAUGUUGUACGACUGUUUAAUAAAAACACAGCACUCUGCAAAGAUAAAAAAUCAAAGUAUUGAGUGUGAUGUCUGCCCAAUGUCGGCUGGGUAACGGAUCUUCCUUGAUUAUUAACCAAGGUUUUGAAGGACACCCCGAUUAAUGGCGGCCUUACCUAUGAGGGUCCUAAGGUAGCGAAAUACCUUGGCCGUUAAAUGCGGUCCUGCAUGAAUGACUUAACGAUGCAACAGCUGUCUCGAUGAUUGUCUCAGUGAAAUUGGAAUAGCAGUGCAGAUACUGUUUACCUCUAGAUAGACGAGAAGACCCUAUGCAGCUUUACUGUUACUAAUUACAGGAGUGAAAUUUUGGAUGAUUUAUAGUGUAUAAGGUAGUUGAUUAGAUAACAAUGAAACACCUUUAUUCGAAUCCUUAUAUAUGCUCUUGAUGAUUGGGAGGCAGUUUAUGCGGGGCACAGAUCCCACAAAAAGUACCUGGGUAUAUCCAAAGUUCAUAUUGUAAACUUGUAUAUUUAUAUACAAAUAUUUUAAUUUGUUCUAAUUAUUAUUAUAAUUAUACAGUUAUUAUUCGAUUAAAUUCAACAAUUAUUUUUUAUUUUAAGUAAGAUUUUAACUAUGUGGUGAAUAGAUGUAUUUUAAACUUUACCCUUAUUUAGGGCUAUAAAAGUUUAUUUGUUAUAUUAAUAAAGUAUUUAUCUUUAUUAAUAUAAUAUUUAUUAAUACUUUAAAAGUUUAAUGGCUAAAUCUUGCUUUACUGUUUGACCUACAAGUCUAUCAGUCGCGUAAGCGGGGCAUAUGAUCACAAGAUGCUUUAAGGAAAGGUCUUGGAUUAUAGAAAAAGUUACGCUAGGGAUAACAGGCUAAUUUGCGCAAGAGAGUACAAAUUGAGUGCGCGGUUUGGCACC
rnacentral:rRNA from 1 species